UCCUUCAAGUGCUAAUGUGUCAGACACAAUGUGUGUGUGUGUGUGUGUGUGUGUGUGUGUGUGUGUGUGUGUGUGUGUAUACUAGGUAUACAUCUUC
rnacentral:miRNA from 1 species